GACAGAGGGUGCAAACGUUGCUCGGAAUACUGGGCGUAAAGCGUGCGCAGGCGGUUGUGCAAGACAGAUGUGAAAUCCCCGGGCUCAACCUGGGAAUUGCAUUUGUGACUGCACGGCUAGAGUGUGUCAGAGGGGGGUAGAAUUCCACGUGUAGCAGUGAAAUGCGUAGAGAUGUGGAGGAAUACCGAUGGCGAAGGCAGCCCCCUGGGAUAACACUGACGCUCAUGCACGAAAGCGUGGGGAGCAAACAGG
rnacentral:rRNA from 1 species